UUUCCGUAGGCGAACCUGCGGAAGGAUCAUUAAAGAAUUUGCCCCGUCCUCUCGAGGAUGAGUCCUCUUCUAAACCGUGUAUACAUACCUUUGUUGCUUUGGCGGGCCGCCGUCUCGGCGUUGGCUUCGGCUGACUGUGCCCGCCAGAGAACCCCAACUCUUCUGUUUAGUAUUGUCUGAGUACUAUAUAAUAGUUAAAACUUUCAACAACGGAUCUCUUGGUUCUG
rnacentral:misc_RNA from 1 species